UGUGACAUACCACUUGUUGCCUCGGCGGAUCAGCCCGCUCCCGGUAAAACGGGACGGCCCGCCAGAGGACCCCUAAAACUCUGUUUCUAUAUGUAACUUCUGAGUAAAACCAUAAAUAAAUCAAAACUUUCAACAACGGAUCUCUUGGUUCUGGCAUCGAUGAAGAACGCAGCAAAAUGCGAUAAGUAAUGUGAAUUGCAGAAUUCAGUGAAUCAUCGAAUCUUUGAACGCACAUUGCGCCCGCCAGUAUUCUGGCGGGCAUGCCUGUUCGAGCGUCAUUUCAACCCUCAAGCACAGCUUGGUGUUGGGACUCGCGUUAAUUCGCGUUCCUCAAAUUGAUUGGCGGUCACGUCGAGCUUCCAUAGCGUAGUAGUAAAACCCUCGUUACUGGUAAUCGUCGCGGCCACGCCGUUAAACCCCAACUUCUGAAUGUUGACCUCGGAUCAGGUAGGAAUACCCGCUGAACUUAAGCAUAUCAAUAAGCGGAGG
rnacentral:rRNA from 1 species